AAACGCAGUCAUUUUUGUUUUCCUUCAGAUUUUUACCAUUAAAAUGGUGGAUUAAAUGUUCAUGCUGGUUCAUCCUUUCCCAUGAUGGAGUGUGCACAGAACCCUGAUUUGCAGCUCUGCUGUUUCUCUCUGUUUAUUGAAAGCAUCUACCUCACCGGACUGCCAGUAUUGGAGCAUUACCCUAACUGGCCAUGAAUACAACUAUUGACAGGACCGAGGAUUAUGGAUUUUUGCAUCUCCAGCUCCAUACAUGGAUUCUGUGAGACGGUCCCCCAUUUGCCCCGCACCGUUUGCUGAAUGCUCCACGUUUUCUCCGUUGACAUGAAACGCCUCCCAGGAGAUUCUUGGGCAGACUUCAUGGCUUCCGAGCUGAGCUUGUGGUGACAGUGGUUCCUCUUUGUGAAACCUCUCCAGGCGGGCAGAGACCUCAAACACGCCACUCAGAGCUGCCAACAAGUCAAACCUGCACCAGUACCGGCGUAUGCGAGGUCUCCAGAUUGCAGCCUGGAAUGAUGUGAGCGCAUGAUUCCCAUCUAGUUGGUUCCUCCACUCCACAGACCGUCUCUCCAAUAAAGUCAGGAGGCGACAGGGAAUAGUCACAUGGUUUUGGUUGUUUGAUUUGCAGACUUUACUCCGUCAACAUGUGAGGAAGACCCGAACUUAAUAUUUGCAAAGCAGUUUGAACUAUGGAGAAGAAAGGUGCUAUGUAAUCCUUAUGUUAUCUUUUAGAUUUCGAGCAUGUUACUGUGACGUCAACAUCCUAGGCUUAAUGAAGUUUUAUUUCAGCUAAUAUAAGUUCAUCCCUCUGUGUUCAACUAGGUGUGAAACCAAGCCACUGGGUGUGGAUUAUGAGGGCUGAAGUUUUGGGGGGUGGGGUGAAAUUUUUCAGAAUUCGUGAUAGCAUAUGAGACCACUGAAGCCGGUUUACCUGCCUUCUAUCUACAAGGGUGCUUUUUAAACUAGGACACACAUCUAUUGUUCAGUGAUAAUUAUAGUGAUAAUGCUGACACUAAGAUACUGCAAAAUCCUGCUGCA